AAUUUUGGAGUUUUCUACAGGGUUUUUAAUUUUUAGUGUGUAAAAUAUUUUGUUCGUUUUGUUUUGUUUGUGCAAGUAUGUUUUCUACGAAUGAUGUUUGAGUACAUGGUGUGUUAUUUGUAUUGGUAAUAGAUUUAAUAUGUAUGGGUAUGCUUUUGAUUAAUGUGUAAUACAUUAGGAAAUUGCUUGAAGGUAUUCCGUAUAUGUAACAUAUAUUAUCAAAAGAAUAAAAGUCCUUAAUCCUGUAAUCGUACAAUUGUUCGACAUAUUAAAUGUUUCGUUCAAACCAAUGUUAAUAUAAAAAAACGUCUUAUUGUUUGAAGAUAUGUCUUUAUUGUUCCAUGAAAUAGUUUUACUGCUGGUUUUGGUUUAUAGAUAAUGAGUAACAUUACUCCAUGCCGGUAGAACACUAGAUAGAAAUAUGUUUUCGUUUGCAAUUUCAUGUAAAAUAUUCAAAAAGUAAGAAAUCACCAUAUUUUUUAGAAUUUUCUGGUCGAAUAAUUUCGAUUUACUCGUAUUGGUAUUAUCUAGGUAAAUUUUAACCCAGCUGCAUUUGAUUGCAUUCAAGAAUGAGGCAAUGUCCGUUAAUUGGAUACCUCCAUUUUCUACAGAUUGAAUUUACUGAGUGCGGAUUUUAUAUCGUUAAAAAUAUCAUUUGGUGGAUUUGGGAGAACUGUUGGUACAUAAACUAAUUAGGGAGUGCAAACGUUUUCAACACUGCGUUUUUCCGAUUAGUGUACGUUUACGGUGUUGCCAAGAUUUCAAGCAGUAUUUUAAUUUCGGUUAUUUAGGCAGUAUGUUUUUCGAACUGUUUCAUUUAUAUUAUUUGUAAAUGUAUUUCUGUAAUGUAACGGUUUAUAACAUAUCGUUAAUCAUUUAUUCUUAUGAGUUUAUUCUUAUGAUGGAAAUUAAUAAGGAUAAUGGGUAUAUUUCAGUAAUAUGUAUAUGCAAUGUUAAGAUGAAUUUUGUGUGUAAUGUAACUGUUCAUAACAUAUCGUUUAUCGUUUAUUCUUAUGAGUUUAUUCUUAUGAUGGAAAUUAAAAGGAAUAAUAUGUAUAUUUCAAUAAUAUGUAUAUGCAAUGUUAAGAUAAAGUUUGAGAAUUUAAUAAUACAUCUUGGGAAGUAUUUGCAUAAACUAAGACCUGAUUUAAGAUUUAUUUCAAGUAAGAACGCAAAUACGUUUACACCCAGGAUGGGGUAUAAUUGGAAUCAAUAAAAUGAAAAGUCAGACCUGAUUUAAGAUAUAAUCCAAAUAAAAACACAAAUACGUUUACACCCAGGGUGGGAUAAUUGGGAUUAAUAAAUUGGAAAGUCAAUCAGACAAAAGAAUCAAAGGUCAUAUACUUAACAAUGAGUCCAGAGUCAGCAUAUAGAUACGAGAUUUUAAGUAACACGCAUGGUCAACAAACAGCACAGAUGAAAGGGUCACCUAUUGUCUGGGAUACAAAAGUUAAGGUACUAACGAAUGUAAAGGAAUUACUCUAUACCAAUAUAAAUUGAUUAGUACCAAUAUAAAUUGAUUAGAUUUUAAUAUAUUCGCCAAGCAAGUAAAUACAUGAAAAAGUGUUCCUUCUAGAAUAUUCUGACUAAUCAACCAAUGAAUAAUAACCAUACUAGCUGAGGACCAAUCAAAAUCUUAAAAGAAAAUAUAUGCAAAUUAAUUUAGAGACAAAAUGGGGAUGUUUAGAAGGAAAGCGGCACUCCGCGGUUAGGUUAGAAAGAUACUACAGCUAGACUUAGAAAAUAAUGUUUAGACUAUAAAUACAAUUUUGAUGUUAGGAAAUAGUUAGAAAAAUAAAAGAAAUAAUUUUGAGAA